CAACUGGAGAGUUUGAUCCUGGCUCAGAAUUAACGCUGGCGGCAUGCCUAACACAUGCAAGUCGCACGAGAAACCCCGGUUCGCCGGGGGAGUACAGUGGCGCACGGGUGAGUAACGCGUGGGUAAUCUACCUCGGUCCGGGGGAUAACGCACCGAAAGGUGCGCUAAUACCGCAUAACCCGGCGGACCUUUGGGUCUGUCGGCAAAGGUGGCCUCUCCAUGGAAGCUACCGGAUAGAGAUGAGCCCGCGUCCCAUUAGCUAGUUGGUGGGGUAAAGGCCUACCAAGGCGACGAUGGGUAGCUGGUCUGAGAGGACGAUCAGCCACACUGGAACUGGAACACGGUCC
rnacentral:ncRNA from 1 species